UGUUCGGGAAGUCGUUCGCCUAGUCUAUUUGCCAGCAGAAGAGAACGUAAGAGACAGCAAAUUUUGAGAGUUCAAAAUAGAGAACCUGCAAUUUUCUACUGGGACUUUUUUUGCCAGCAGAAAUUUGCAACUUUGAACAGAUGUUUUGUAAAGGCCAGCUGUUUUAUGAAAAACAGAUGUUACAUGAAAAUACAAAAGCUAACACCAAAAUGGAUCAAUCAGACAGAGAUUCAAGGCAGCAGCCAAUGUUCAGGUACAGAAAACUCGCCAAAUGAAGUUGUAAUUUUACCUCAAGUCGGCUGUUCUACAUUAAGGCUGGUACUAUAUUCGUUUUCCACAGUUGAAAACACACUUUCUUAAAGGCUACUUUUUUGAAACACUACAAAAAUCUCAAUGAAAACAUAAUACUUUUAUGAAUAUUUUUUCAUAAGUAAUGAGGGAAUGUCCUACUGAAUGCAAUCAGCAUCACUCACAUACAAAAUCUAUUAUUUAAAUAAAGUAAUCACGAAAGAAUGUCGCGAAAAACGAA